AUCCUAUGGUGAGGGCAUUUCCUUAAUUGUUCUUUAAAUUUCUCCCAAGUCUUAUACAAAGAUUCAUCAUCCAUCUACAGAAAAAUAGUGAUCUCAUUCCGCAACUAAGCAU
rfam:Gossypium hirsutum cultivar TM-1 chromosome 10, whole genome shotgun sequence